GAGCAUUUCCUCUUAGGUUCACGUAGGCGAGCAGAGAAGAUGCCACUCGGGAAAGAGCUGGGUUUCCUGCUCGACGUCUUCAGGAGCGGGCUGAGCUGCGCAGGCAAGAAGUAGAUCACAGCAUGGCUUGUCCAGGAAGAUUCUGAAGUCUGAGCCCUUCAAGGCGAAUUGAUGCUGAAUCUUGAAUUUUCUUUAGAGAAGG